GUCACUAUCCUGACCUACCACCUGUGUCACAUCCCAUUAGGUUCUGUGGAUGAGGCAUGGUGCUUGGCACAGACUGACACACGUUGGGGCAAACUUGGCAGAGCAGCCUAACCCAAAGCAAAAAACAGAAAUGAACCAAGAUACAACCUCUGUGGAAAACCCUACCGAACAAAAGCAACUCUGUGGAGUGUCCUCUCAGCUGCAAAUUGAGACAGAAUUGUGGGGCAAGCUUGGCCACUGAUGCAAUUCCGUAGCUUGCUACACAGAAAGCCAGAGACCGAGAGCCAAUGACUGAGACUAUGAGUAUUGCCAAGGAAGAAGGCUUUAAUCGGGUGCUGCAGCUGAGGAGAUGAGAGCUCAGCCUCAAAUCCAUCUCCCUGACCAACUAAAGCUAAGGAUUUAUAUAGCAGGGAAGAAAACAGGAACUAGGAAGGGGCAAGGAAGUGAUCCUGAUGAACGAAGGGUCAGGCAUUUCAUUGUCUGGAUGUGGCGAUCUCUCACACUGGCCACACCUGGGACUUCCAACAUGAAUGCUUUUGUCACGGAUGCUGCGCUGCUGCUGUUUCUGGUUCUUACUCUGCUUACACCAAGGAGACUGAUGUCCCUGCCAUAACCCCACUUCCGAUGCAGACAGCAAUUCCAAUGCAUUGCAGCUUUCAGGAUUUUCUCACUGUGAUUUUGCCUCUCCUUUUCUUUAAGACAUGAGCAUUUGUCUAUGGGGAUGGCCUGAAGUGUAGUCUCCAUUACCCAGAGUCAUCUCACUCUCUGACCUUGACUCAUGAUCUGAGAACAAAUGCUCCCCUGCUUGUCUUCCUGAGGGGCAUCUGUCCCUCUUGCAAACAGAUUUCCUUUGGGCUCUAUCAUUUAGAAAUGCCCUUAUU
rnacentral:lncRNA from 1 species